GUUUCCAUAGUUGAAUGACAACGGUGGUUUUUCAUAUCAUUGGUCCUGGUUAAAGCCCGGGUGGAAAUU
rnacentral:tRNA from 1 species